UUAAAANUUCGGGGCUUAACCCCGUGAUGGGAUGGAAACUGCUGAUCUAGAGUNUCGGAGAGGAAAGUGGAAUUCCUAGUGUAGCGGUGAAAUGCGUAGAUAUUAGGAAGAACACCAGUGGCGAAGGCGACUUUCUGGACGAAAACUGACGCUGAGGCGCGAAAGCCAGGGGAGCGAACGGGAUUAGAUACCCCGGUAGUCCUGNCCGUAAACGAUGGGUACUAGGUGUAGGAGGUAUCGACCCCUUCUGUGCCGGAGUUAACGCAAUAAGUACCCCGCCUGGGGAGUACGACCGCAAGGUUGAAACUCAAAGGAAUUGACGGGGGCCCGCACAAGCGGUGGAGUAUGUGGUUUAAUUCGACGCAACGCGAAGAACCUUACCAGGUCUUGACAUUGAUGGACAGAACCAGAGAUGGUUCCUCUUCUUCGGAAGCCAGAAAACAGGUGGUGCACGGUUGUCGUCAGCUCGUGUCGUGAGAUGUUGGGUUAAGUNNNNNNNCGAGCGCAACCCCUAUCUUAUGUUGCCAGCACUUUGGGUGGGGACUCAUGAGAGACUGCCGCAGACAAUGCGGAGGAAGGCGGGGAUGACGUCAAAUCAUCAUGCCCCUUAUGACCUGGGCUACACACGUACUACAAUGGGAGUUAAUAGACGGAAGCGAGAUCGCGAGAUGGAGCAAACCCGAGAAACACUCUCUCAGUUCGGAUCGUAGGCUGCAACUCGCCUACGUGAAGUCGGAAUCGCUAGUAAUCGCAGGUCAGCAUACUGCGGUGAAUACGUUCCCGGGCCUUNU
rnacentral:rRNA from 1 species